UACGUAGGGUGCGAGCGUUAAUCGGAAUUACUGGGCUUAAAGCGUGUGUAGGCGGAUUUGUAAGUACCUUGUGAAAUCCCACGGCUUAACCGUGGAACUGCUUGGUAUACUGCUUAUCUUGGGCCAUCUAGGGGCUACCGGAACAAGUGGUGGAGCGGUAAAAUGCGUAGAUAUCACUUGGAACGCCAAUGGUGAAAACAGGUAGCUGGGGAUGUGCCGACGCUGAGACACGAAAGCCAGGGGAGCGAACGGG
rnacentral:rRNA from 1 species